rnacentral:rRNA from 1 species
UACGUAGGGCGCGAGCGUUGUCCGGAAUUAUUGGGCGUAAAGAGCUCGUAGGCGGCUGGUCGCGUCUGCCGUGAAAGCCUGCGGCUUAACCGUGGGUCUGCGGUGGAUACGGGCCGGCUUGAGGCAGGUAGGGGCAAGCGGAAUUCCUGGUGUAGCGGUGAAAUGCGCAGAUAUCAGGAGGAACACCGGUGGCGAAGGCGGCUUGCUGGGCCUUGCCUGACGCUGAGGAGCGAAAGCGUGGGGAGCGAACAGGAUUAGAUACCCUGGUAGUCCACGCCGUAAACGUUGGGCGCUAGGUGUGGGGUUCUUCCACGGACUCCGUGCCGUAGCUAACGCAUUAAGCGCCCCGCCUGGGGAGUACGGCCGCAAGGCUAAA